UUAAUUUAUAAUGAUGACUUCAUAGUUCAGCUGAUUUAAAACAUUGAUGUAUUACUAAGCAAUGUCUUUCGCUCCUAUCUGAUAAUCAA
rnacentral:snoRNA from 1 species